rnacentral:rRNA from 1 species
AAAGCUCUUUCAGCGAGGGGGAAGGUGGUGAACUUAAUACGUUCAUCCUUGACGUUACUCGCAGAAGAAGCACCGGCUAACUCCGUGCCAGCAGCCGCGGUAAUACGGAGGGUGCAAGCGUUAAUCGGAAUUACUGGGCGUAAAGCGCACGCAGGCGGUUUGUUAAGUCAGAUGUGAAAUCCCCGGGCUCAACCUGGGAACUGCAUUUGAAACUGGCAAGCUAGAGUCUCGUAGAGGGGGGUAGAAUUCCAGGUGUAGCGGUGAAAUGCGUAGAGAUCUGGAGGAAUACCGGUGGCGAAGGCGGCCCCCUGGACGAAGACUGACGCUCAGGUGCGAAAGCGUGUGGGAGCAAACAGGAUUAGAUACCCUUGGUAGUCAAG